rnacentral:rRNA from 1 species
AGGGAUCAUUACAGAGUUUUCUAAACUCCCAACCCUUUGUGUAUCUACUAUUUUGUUGCCUCGGCGGGCUCUGCUCCUCGGAGCAGGCCUAAGUCCGCCGGUGGCCCAAAACUUAAACUCUUGAAUUUUUUGACAUCUGAGAGUUAUUUUUAAAAUAAGUCAAAACUUUUAACAACGGAUCUCUUGGUUCUGGCAUCGAUGAAGAACGCAGCGAAAUGCGAUAAGUAAUGUGAAUUGCAGAAUUCAGUGAAUCAUCGAAUCUUUGAACGCACGUUGCGCCCAUUAGUAUUCUAGUGGGCAUGCCUAUUCGAGCGUCAUUUCAACCCUUAAGCCUAGCUUAGUGUUAGGAGCUUACAGCAAUGUAACUCCCUAAAGUCAUUGGCAGAGCUAAAUCAACUCUCAGCGUAGUAAUUUCAUCUCGCUCUUGUAGUUGGUCUGGCGAUCGCCAUAAACCUUUAUUUUCUAAUGGUUGACCUCGGAUUAGGUAGGAAUACCCGCUGAGCUUAA